rnacentral:lncRNA from 1 species
GCGGGAUCGGAAGGGACUCCGGGUUUAGCGGUCCAUGUUCUCAUGAUCCCAGCUGGUCUGGUCUCUUUGGACCCGGGACAAACGGAGGGUCUUGCAGAGAAUGAUCCACAGUUUGGAACACUGAGCCCCAGACCACCCAACGAAGGCACUGAGAGGAGCCAGAGGCCUGGGACCCACACAUCUAGGGCUGCUUAUGUUCUCACAGUUUAAGGGUGGAGCUUUGCAGAUUGCUCCAUGGCAGGCCCUUGUUUUGUGCUGAUGAUCGCCUCUGCUGGUCUGGCUCCCUGACUGCUCAGUUGUGUUAAAAAUCACUGUGAGGAGUCUUUCCACAUCUCCCAAGUGUGAAAGAAACCUACACUCACAGAUGCAAUUCGUUGGCUGGGCUUUGUUGAGGAUGGAUGGUGGUAGUUUCUCUGCAGGUGAUGACACCGCUGGCUUCCACACACUGUGCUUCCCGUUCUUGCGUGGCCACUUCAUCCCAAGCAGAAUGCUUCAUGGUGAAAGCAAAACCCUGGCGGUUUCACCAACAUGAAAGGCUGCAGCCAGCGCACCACAUGAAGAAAUAUCUUCUUCCUCGCUGUAUAAUCUGUUUCCUGCGGAUUUCGAGGUUUUCUCUGGGUUGACAAUCCACUCUCUAAUUCUCUGGUAGCUUUCAAAGGCAGAGCUCACAACCAAAUUAUUGCCCACAUUCAUAGGCAAAACAACGAGUAACCAAACAUGUUAUUAGCUGCAGUACUUAGGAUACAGCUGUGGACAAUUUGAAGCUGUGGAUUUUCAGAGUUGUUUUUUUUUUUUUU